rnacentral:rRNA from 1 species
GCGAGUCUUGUAGCAUACAAGGCGGACGGCUCAGUAACACGUAGUCAACCUAACCUAUGGACGUGGAUAACCUCGGGAAACUGAGAAUAAACCAUGAUAGAUCAUAAUGCCUGGAAUGGCUUAUGGUUCAAACAAUUUAUUGCCAUAGGAUGGGACUGCGGCCUAUCAGCUUGUUGGUGAGGUAAUGGCCCACCAAGGCUAUAACAGGUACGGGCUCUGAGAGGAGAAGCCCGGAGAUGGGUACUGAGACACGGACCCAGGCCCUAUGGGGCGCAGCAGGCGAGAAACCUUAGCAAUGUGCGAAAGCACGACUAGGUUAAUCCGAGUGGUUCCUGCUAAAGGAACCUUUUGUCAGUCGUAAAACCACAGACGAAUAAGGGGUGGGCAAGUCUGGUGUCAGCCGCCGCGGUAAUACCAGCACCUCGAGUGGUCAGGAGGUUUAUUGGGCCUAAAGCAUCCGUAGCCGGCUUUGCAAGUCUCCGGUUAAAUCCAACUGCUUAACAGAUGGGCUGCCGGAGAUACUACAAAGCUAGGGAGCGGGAGAGGUAGACGGUACUCGGUGGGUAGGGGUAAAAUCCACUGAUCCAUCGAAGACCACCAGUGGCGAAGGCGGUCUACCAGAACGCGUUCGACGGUGAGGGAUGAAAGCUGGGGGAGCAAACCGGAUUGAUACCCGGGUAGUCCCAGCUGUAAACGAUGCAAACUCGGUGAUGCGUUGGCUUAUGGCCAACGCAGUGCCGCAGGGAAGCCGUUAAGUUUGCCGCCUGGGAAGUACGGACGCAAGUCUGAAACUCAAAGGAAUUGACGGAAUCACU